GUCCAGGGUAGCCUUGUGUCAUGGUAUCUGCCCGGUAAGCGGAAGGUCGUGGGUUCGAUUCCCAUCCCUUGACA
rnacentral:tRNA from 1 species